GACGAACGCUGGCGGCGUGCCUAACACAUGCAAGUCGAGCGGGAACCUCAGGAGGGGUAACCCUUCUGAGGGGAGAGCGGCGAACGGGUGAGUAACACGUGGGCAACCUGCCCCGGACACCGGGAUAACCCAGGGAAACCUGAGCUAAUACCGGAUACUCCGGCGCGAUCGCAUGGUCGUGCCGGGAAAGCUCCGACGGUCCGGGAUGGGCCCGCGGCCUAUCAGCUUGUUGGUGGGGUAACGGCCCACCAAGGCGACGACGGGUAGCUGGUCUGAGAGGACGGCCAGCCACACUGGGACUGAGACACGGCCCAGACUCCUACGGGAGGCAGCAGUGGGGGAUCUUGCGCUAAUGCGCGAAAGCGUGACGCAGCGACGCCGCGUGGGGAUGAAGGCC
rnacentral:rRNA from 1 species